AAUUUUGACUUGUUUGACUAUUAUUAGUUGUUUGACUUGGUUAAACAACCAAUAUGAGUGCUUGUUUAAUCAGUUUUUUGUAAUUGUAAAACGCUCAAA